rnacentral:tRNA from 1 species
GAUAGUGUGACCGAGUGGUCUAUGGCGAUGAUUUUAGGCACCAGACUCUUUGGAGGCAAGGGAUCGAAUCCCUUCACUGUCA